UACGUAGGGGGCAAGCGUUGUCCGGAAUCAUUGGGCGUAAAGCGCGUGUAGGCGGCUCGGUAAGUCCGCUCUGAAAGCCCGGGGCUCAACCCCCGGGAGGCGGGUGGAUACUGCUGAGCUCGAGUCCGGAAGAGGAGUGUGGAAUUCCUGGUGUAGCGGUGAAAUGCGCAGAUAUCAGGAAGAACACCAAUGGCGAAGGCAGCUCUCUGGGACGGUACUGACGCUGAGACGCGAAAGCUGGGGGAGCGAACAGG
rnacentral:rRNA from 1 species